rnacentral:rRNA from 1 species
AUGCCAACGCUCUACAGAAUUAGUGCAACUGCCCGCAGCACAAAUCACGGGCACACGCACCUUUCUGAGAAGCACGGCCUCGGGGAACGGCCCGGUGACCUCGCCGGCCUUGGGGUUGAAGCUGUGCGCGUCCACCCUCUCCUCCCCCGCCUCCCCGUCCUGCCGCCCCCUCUUCUUCCUGGCCCCCGCGACCACGAACCGGCGCCUCCCCACGCCAAGGGCGAGCCGCACCGUGCUGACCAGCGGCGGCGAAGGCGCCAGGAGGAAGAGAGGCCGCGUCGACGCGGCGGUGGCCUCCAUGAGCGACGGUUGUCGGUGAGAAGAGGAGAGGAGGAAGGUUCUCGCGGGGGUUUUGGUUUGGGGACGCGGAGCGAAACGAAACGUGGGCAGAUAAGGUAG